UGAUGCACACUGGGCCCUGGUGGUAGCUUUAUCAGACAUGAUGACGUCCAGCAUAAACGUGGGCCCCUGAUGGGAGAUAGCUGUAAAAUAUCUGUGAUCAUAUGCAGCAGAAAGAACAAAGCUAAAAAGUGUCAGGGUUCUGUUGUGUCCUGCUCUGGUUGCUUCCACAGGUAGUGGCUGAGGGGGCGUGCCCCACACCUGCGGCUCAUCAGAGGCAGCUUCCUCUGACUACUUAAGCAGCGCGCAGACAGACGGAAGAUGCCAGAGCCUUAAACCAGUCGUGUUUUUGUGUGCAUGGAUGCACUUACCUGUCCUGAAGCCCCGAGAAGAAUUCGAACCAGUGGAAUCAUCAGCUCAGAUCCUGCUCUGGCGCUCCCCCUCUUACUCCCUUGGCGUUAUCAAGACGGGCUCGAGGUCCCCUUCCCGGAUUCCACUGGUACUCCCAAGACUCUUGGACUCUGGUCAAUCCGUCUGUCACCCACGCCUGCUGAGGUUUGCCUCGGGUCACUCGCCAGCUCCAUCUGCCACCCUCCAGCCACUACCGCCAACUAGAGUAGGCACUCAGUUCCCUCAGCACCUACCCUUCCCCGGUUAGGUCUACCCUGCUUCAUGUUAACCCCGCCUAGACGUUCAGGCCUCGUUCAGCCAACUAGUUGUCGUAUUUUGUUACUGCACAUUCCUUUAAUAAACACCUUUAACUCAACUCUGGUCUCCUGUCCUUAUCU